CUGGCCCCAUGGAGCCCGAGCUGGAGCAUUCACUGAACACGACCCCAUCCUGGAGCAGCCUGGUGGGUUCUCAGCAUCAAGAGAUGAGCUUCCUGGAGCAAGGAGAUAGCACUCCGUGGCCAUCACCUGCCAUGACCACCAGCUCAGAAAGAAGCCAUCGGAAGCGGGGGGCCAAGGCCUCAGGAUGGACAAGGCAGGAGGCUGUGGAGGAAGAGGACCUGCCAGGCCUGGGGGAAGGUCCCCAAUCCAGGCCAGCUGCUGAGUUCAUCGGGCUGGAGUCCACAUUCCCCAAGGCCACACCCUUGGCCCAGGCUGCUCCCUUGGACAUCCUCCCCUCUGAGUGCGCAGUCUCAGCCACGGGCUCCAGCAAAGAGUUCCCAGCCACACUAGCUUGCAGGUCUGAGCUCAGCCUGGUGGAAGAGAGGCCUGCCCCGUGCCCAUCCCCGCAGGCCCCAUUACCCAAGCAGGGCUUGGACGAUGAACUGCAGAAGCCGGGAGCCCAGGUCUACAUGCACUUCAUGCAGAAGCACACCUGCUACGAUGCCAUGGCAACCAGCUCCAAGCUGGUCAUCUUCGACACCACGCUGGAGAUCAAGAAGGCCUUCUUCGCCCUGGUGGCCAACGGUGUCCGGGCCGCACCUCUAUGGGACAGCAAGAAGCAGAGCUUUGUGGGGAUGCUGACCAUCACAGACUUCAUCUUGGUGCUGCAUCGCUAUUACAGGUCCCCCCUGGUCCAGAUCUAUGAGAUUGAAGAGCAUAAGAUUGAGACCUGGAGGGAGAUCUACCUUCAAGGCUGCAUCAAGCCUCUGGUCUCCAUCUCUCCCAAUGACAGCCUAUUUGAAGCCGUCUACACCCUUAUCAAGAACCGGAUACACCGCCUGCCUGUCCUGGACCCGGUAUCAGGCGACGUGCUCCACAUCAUCACACACAAGCGGCUACUCAAGUUCCUGCACAUCUUUGGCGAUCUGCUGCCCCGGCCCCCAUUCCUCUACCGAACCAUCCAAGAUUUGGGCAUCGGCACAUUCCGAGACUUGGCUGUGGUGCUUGAGACGGCACCCAUCCUGACCGCACUGGACAUCUUUGUGGACCGGCAUGUGUCUGCACUGCCUGUGAUCAACGAAGAUGGUCAGGUCGUGGGCCUCUACUCCCGCUUCGAUGUGAUCCACCUGGCUGCCCAGCAUACCUACAACCACCUAGACAUGAGUGUGGGGGAAGCACUGAGGCAGAGGACGCUGUGUCUGGAGGGAGUCCUUUCCUGCCAGCCCAAAGAGAACUUGGGGGAAGUCAUCGACCGGAUUGUCCGGGAGCAGGUACACCGGUUGGUGCUAGUGGAUGAGAGCCAGCAUCUCCUGGGCGUGGUGUCCCUAUCCGACAUCCUUCAGGCACUGGUGCUCAGCCCUGCUGGCAUUGAGGCCCUCAGUGCCUGAGAAUAUGAGUCCUCAUUCCCAGACUGCCUUCCACAAGCGGAGCCAAUGAAGAGAGCCGGGCGUCGGCCUUCAUCUUCCCCCACCCCCAUUAGCUGGUUCGACUCUGGUUCAGGCUUCUCCAGCCCUCCCUAAAUGCCCUUGCCCUGACUAUUCUCCCAGAAGCCCUCGGGAAUGCCCAGUGCACUAUGGGAUGAUGACAUUAAGGAGAACAGCUGAGUCAAGCCUAGAGAUCCCUGAAUCAGAGGCACUGGGAUUGCCCUAAGGCCCACUGCUCCCUGUCCACCCACAUCACCUUCCCCAACCUGGGUUGUGACUGGCCCCAGUGGGGCCACGAGCCCUCAGCACAUGGGUAUAGUCAGGGGCUCAGGAUUCUUCGAAGCUCCUAAGAGCCCCAGCUGUUCUUCCCCCUGGAGAACCUCUGACCUCCUACUCCCCCUGCACUGUCGUUUCAGGGCUGCUGGGGGCACCAUGGAGCAGCAGUUACUUGUAGAACUGCCUGUUAGAGUGGCCCUCCCUCCAUUCUCUUCCUCAGCUCUCCCUUGCAAACAGUGUUCUCGGUUCCCAGUGAUGGCCCUGUAUUCAGAU